ACUGGGUAUAAUCCCCGAUAGAUCUCGGUCGCUGGAAAGCCCCGAGAUCGAAAGCUCCGGCGCCAGAGGAUGGGUCUGCGGCCUAUCAGGUAGUAGUGGGUGUAGCGUACCUACUAGCCUACGACGGGUACGGGUUGUGAGAGCAAGAGCCCGGAGAUGGAUUCUGAGAC
rnacentral:rRNA from 1 species